UGUUAAAUGCUUGCCGGCUCAAGGACAAGCUGUGACGGGUAUGAACGAUUUAUCGUUCUAAGUGAGUGACGUCACACUGCCAAGAAAAGCUUCUAGUUAGAAUCAGACCGCCCGUACCGCAAACCGACACAGGUAGUCGGGUCGAGAAGACCAAGGUGAGCGAGAGAACUCUCGUUAAGGAACUCGGCAAAAUGACCCCGUAACUUCGGGAGAAGGGGUGCUGAUCGCAAGAUCAGCCGCAGUGAAUAGGCCCAGGCGACUGUUUAUCAAAAACACAGGUUUCUGCAAAAUCGUAAGAUGAAGUAUAGGGGCUGACGCCUGCCCGGUGCUGGAAGGUUAAGAGGAUGGGUUAGCGCAAGCGAAGCUCAGAAUUGAAGCCCCAGUAAACGGCGGCCGUAACAAUAACGGUCCUAAGGUAGCGAAAUUCCUUGUCGGGUAAGUUCCGACCCGCACGAAAGGCGUAACGAUCUGGGCACUGUCUCAACGAGAGACUCGGUGAAAUUAUAAUACCCGUGAAGAAGCGGGUUACCCGCGACAGGACGGAAAGACCCCAUGGAGCUUUACUGUAGCUUGAUAUUGGGUGUUUGUACAACUUGUACAGGAUAGGUAGGAGCCGUAGAAGUCGGGACGCUAGUUUCGACGGAGGCAUCGGUGGGAUACUACCCUCGUUGUAUGAACACUCUAACCCACGCCGGCAAUCACGGCGGGAGACAGUGUCAGGUGGGCAGUUUGACUGGGGCGGUCGCCUCCUAAAAGGUAACGGAGGCGCCCAAAGGUUCCCUCAGAAUGGUUGGAAAUCAUUCGCAGAGUGUAAAGGCAUAAGGGAGCUUGACUGCGAGACCUACAAGUCGAGCAGGGACGAAAGUCGGGCUUAGUGAUCCGGUGGUUCCGCAUGGAAGGGCCAUCGCUCAACGGAUAAAAGCUACCCUGGGGAUAACAGGCUUAUCUCCCCCAAGAGUCCACAUCGACGGGGAGGUUUGGCACCUCGAUGUCGGCUCAUCGCAUCCUGGGGCUGUACUCGGUCCCAAGGGUUGGGCUGUUCGCCCAUUAAAGCGGUACGCGAGCUGGGUUCAGAACGUCGUGAGACAGUUCGGUCCCUAUCCGUCGCGGGCGCAGGAAAUUUGAGAGGAUCUGUCCUUAGUACGAGAGGACCGGGAUGGACAUACCGCUGGUGUACCAGUUGUUCUGCCAAGGGCAUCGCUGGGUAGCUAUGUAUGGAUGAGAUAAACGCUGAAAGCAUCUAAGUGCGAAACUCACCUCGAGAUAAGAUUUCCCACUCCUUUAUGGAGUUAAGACCCCUGAGAGAUGAUCAGGUAGAUAGGAUGGAAGUGGAAGUGCGGCGACGCAUGGAGCGGACCAUUACUAAUCGGUCGAGGACUUAACCG
rnacentral:rRNA from 1 species